UACGGAGGGUGCUAGCGUUGUUCGGAAUCACUGGGCGUAAAGGGCGUGUAGGCGGUCUGUUAAGUCUGAUGUGAAAUCCCCUCGCUCAACGAGGGAACUGCGUCGGAUACUGGCAGACUUGAGUACCGGAGAGGAAGGUGGAAUUCCCGGUGUAGCGGUGAAAUGCGUAGAGAUCCGGAGGAACACCGAAGGCGAAGGCAGUGUCCUGGCGAGUGACUGACGCUGAGGUGCGAAAGCCAGGGGAGCGAACGGG
rnacentral:rRNA from 1 species